GUCGAUUUAUUUGCCGCAUUUCACGCGCGGAGAUAGUUCCACGAUUUUAUGCAAAUUCAGCGCGCGAGCCGUUAAAAAGCAGCUUUUUCUCGCGCACGGCGAUUGUGCAAAUUACCGUCUUGCACAGGCGACUUGCGUUAUCGACUUUUAUUGCAUUCGUUUUCAUUUUUAUCACAGUAAAUUCUGCUUUACUCCACUCGACCGCCGUCGUAUUUUGUAUUUUGGGUGAUGUGAAAACCGCAUAUUUUUAUAUUUACCUGUUUACUCGCGCCGCUAACACACGGCUGUGUUAUGUACCAUCGCGAUCGCGUGGAAAAGCCAACCUAACCUAACGCGGAGAUAUCUCAUAGCUCCAAGUUUCCGAAUAAACGGCCGCGGGCUCGCCGGCUCUCCUCGCGGGGCAGGGGCAAUCGAUUUCGCUAUUAUAUGCCGGGGACCGUUUUACUUUACGUUCCGUAGAAUAAACACGGAAUCGUAAAUUGCGGAUGAUGGCCGGUGCCGGAGAAACUAAAUGGCUGCGAUUAUUCGUGCGGUCCCCGGCCGCGGCACGUACGCCCGACUUUAUCGUAGCCGCCAGCUUUGAGAUAUACCAUCCGCGCGCCCGGGACGUACAACGUUUUCCUCGAUACUCGACGAAUUACGACGACGGGCUCGCAUUUUUCUCGGAUGUGCCGGCCGUAAGACGCCCGAUCGACAAUUACACACGUACGACGUACGCGUCUGGACUCCGCCGCGUUUUAUCUUGUGAAGCACGUUUAGCGCGCUCCAAAGCGUGACACGGAUUCUUCGUCGUCGGGGGAACCUCGUGUUAUCCUCGUCGGUUGCCCUUAUUGCGGACAGACGAACGGACGGACGUACGGACGUUGCUUUCGCGACGCUCCCGUCGCGGUCACUGACGCGAAAUUUCCAUCGAGAGAUGGACCGUCGAAGUACCGGAUUGCGUGUCGAGAUUUAUCUCGGAUUUCUUUUUCAUGCUUCGUGUUUCGUCCUUGAUGGGUAUUAAAGGAGCGAUCGCAUCAGAGGUUCGAAUGAAACCGGUAUUAUUAUACGAUUUCAUCCUACCUUGACUCGCUAAUCGCGCAAAACUUCAUGUUUUAUACGAUAAAAAUAUCCGACACUCUCAGUUUUCGUAUCUGAAUACAUGUGUGUAUGUGAUUCGCAGAGUUGAAUAUGAAACGUAGAGUUUCAUGUGAGCAGCUCUGUGUCGGAUCAUUAUUUACUAAAUGACAAAUCGCCCGGAAAUAUCCACGCGGAAUUUUGCUGGACUGAGUGUGCAAUCCCUUGCUAACAGUUACUUAACUAACAUUGGGUGUCGUGUAUAUUUCUGGCGUUACAUUGUCUAUUCCUUUGGAAUUAAUACCGCGUUUCUAAUUCCUAAUUAAUAAAUUCGACGAUUGUCCGAUUUUAUUGUUACUUGAGUGAAUCAAUAGUACUUACAAGUGUAAGAGACGCCGAUUCGACAUGUCGCGACAAGCAUCGGUUGUGUAUGUCGAAAAGUGGGAGGAUUAAUUCUUACUGACGUACUUGCGAUACUUCCCGACGAUCGUACGUCGCUAUUUCGACACUUCUGAUAUUUACUUCCGCGCGAGACUAACUUGCGACAGGCAAAAGAGGCAUAAAGUGCGAAGCGAUGUCGAUCGAUGUGUCCAUGGCGGUUGUUCGAUGCGAAAAGAUCGAAAUUCAAGAUGGCCGCAAUAUUACACGGUCCGACAAGGAUGCAAUCUAUAGGACAUCAUUUUCUUGUUAACAGACUGAUGUUACAAUCCGAGAUUCGGCAUCACUUUUCUUUUUUACUCAAAUUUUCAUCGAAUUCUUAGUUUCCGAUUAAUAAAUUCGAUGGUCGUCCGAUUCUGUCAUACCAUUUGAAUGAGUCAGUGGAACUUACAAGUGUGUAAAACGCUGACUCGACACGUCGCAACGGUGGCACGUAAAUGUCGCGAAAUAAGAAGAUUAUUCGCUACCGACGUACUUACGAUACUUCUCGACGAUCGUACAUCGCUAUUUCGACACUCGAUAUUUAUUUCCGUGCGAGAUUCACUUUGGACAGGCGAAAGACGCGUAAAACGCGGAGCGCUCGACGUGUUAAUGGUGGCUGCCCGACGUAAACAGGUCGGAAAUGGCAGCGCGAUUGAUCACGUACGCCAAAAAUACGCGACGAGACGUGAACGGUGUUGAAACGUGAAGUCGUACAACGAUGCGCUCUGUACACUUAGGUUAAGGUCCAAUUGAAACUAGCAAUGCUGUUGAGUCCGUAAAGCACGACUGUGAACGCUAUUCACAAUCAAAUCUUACGCUUAAGAUCGUAUAUUAAGUUCACUUUCAUAUAUUAUACGAAUUAUUUCAUUGGCCGCGGAGUAUCUGAAGAUAAACGUAAGAUAAUUUCAAAGUUGAACUAUAAAUACCGGCUUGCGAUUGGUUUAACUCGCGGAUACUUUGUCACUAGUUAGCAUAGUUACUAAAAGUUUUUGGCCAACUGUAUUCUUAUCUAGCAUUUCUUAUGACGCGAAUAUCAACAUUUCGGAGUUACAUUCGUCGGAUGUAAUAAUUCGCUGCACUUUAUCGCGACAGACGGAAAUUUCAGCGAAAGAAGGGUAUCUCGAACGCGUUUAUCGAUCAGUCGCGCGCGCGAUUAUCGAUUGGUGGCGUGCGUGUUUGCGCGUUCGCUCGCUCGCCGCGUCGUUGUCGCGGCGCGACAACGUUUUCGCGCGCGCAUUUUCGCGUACAUCAUCAAUCGCGUCGCCAUUAUUGACCUUUCUGUGUCGAGCAGCUGCCAUUAGCACAUCGAUCGAUAUCGCUUCGUGUUUUGCGCUUGUUUUGCCCGUAAGUGAGUCUCACGCGGAAAAAAGUGUCGGGAGUGCCGAAAUGGCGAUGUGCGAUCGUCGGGAAGCAUCGUACGUAACUGCCUUCGCCUUGCCUUCGUACAUCAAUCAACGGUUAGAGUAAGCACAAACGCGCCGUGUACAUACAUUUUCCUCGAGGAUUAAUUCCCUCGAAAGCCGGGCGGCUUUCACGGUGACUGGGCAGAAGGUAAAUUAAUCACUUUCGAAACUCUCGUGACGCAUAAUUCGCUUAAUCACGCACUUCCACGCGAGUUACACUCGUUAUCUCGUUGAUAAGGGCGUUUCGCUGGCGAUUCUAUAUUUAGCACGUAUCGUUCGCGAUCUAGCAUCGAGAGAAAAUAAAUCAUAUAUCACACAGUGAUAGUUUUAUACAAGAGAAAUCCGCUUUUCCUCUUAAAAAUUGCUACAAGUUGUCAACCAUCUCCUCUCGAUCGUCAACCGUUCUGUUGCGAGUUUAAGCAAGUUAAAAAAAGAUUAUCGUUUCGGAGUCGUGAGAGGGGGAGGCACGCGAUUUGUCUGUGUCGCUCUUACGUACGAGACACACUAACGACGCGGUUAACUCGCCCGCGACGGAAUUCGGUUCGACAACCGACACGGACGUCCGGUUAAAACCGCGAAAGUAAUCCACGCGACCGUCGGUAGGCGUUACGACACGUCGAACGCGGAGAACGUUUCACGCCCAUGUAGGUGCGUACCUAACGUCGCAUCGGGUAAAUACAUAAGCCGGGGAUGCACCGGCGUGUAAUAGAGUUUCGCGUGCUUUGUUAAGCGAAUGGUAGGCAGAGGCUUUCCCUGGACGUGGCAGGGUGGCAAAGCAGGGUUGGAGAGGAUCGAGAGAGAUAGAGAGAGAGAACGGGAAUG